rfam:Gossypium hirsutum cultivar TM-1 chromosome 25, whole genome shotgun sequence
CACGUUAGCGCGCUUUACUGACGUGGCAACAAAUCGCGUCCACGAGGGGGCGAUUUCUUGCCACGUCAGCAAAACGCACUGACGUGG